AUUGAACGCUGGCGGCAGGCCUAACACAUGCAAGUCGAACGGCAGCACAGAAGAGCUUGCUCUUUGGGUGGCGAGUGGCGGACGGGUGAGUAACACGUAGGAAUCUACCCAGUAGUGGGGGAUAACCUGGGGAAACCCAGGCUAAUACCGCAUACGCCCUGAGGGGGAAAGCGGGGGAUCUUCGGACCUUGUGCGAUUGGAGCGGCCGAUGUCAGAUUAGCUAGUUGGUGGGGUAAAGGCCUACCAAGGCGACGAUCUGUAGCGGGUCUGAGAGGAUGAUCCGCCACACUGGGACUGAGACACGGCCCAGACUCCUACGGGAGGCAGCAGUGGGGAAUUUUGGACAAUGGGCGCAAGCCUGAUCCAGCCAUGCCGCGUGCGGGAAGAAGGCCCUCGGGUUGUAAACCGCUUUCAGACGGAAGAAAUCGCCAGGGCUAAUAUCCCUGGUGGAUGACGGUACCGUCAGAAGAAGCACCGGCUAACUACGUGCCAGCAGCCGCGG
rnacentral:rRNA from 1 species